rnacentral:rRNA from 1 species
GUCUAUGACCACACCACCCUGAAUGUGCCCAAUCUUGUCUGAGCAGUGUUAGGCCUGGUUAGUACUUGGAUGGGAGACUUCCUAGGAAUAUCAGGUGCUGUCGGAG